CUCCCCCUCCCCCCCCUCACCUCCCGCCGCCGCCGCCGCCCCCUCCGCGGGCCGGGAGAGCUCGGCGAGGAGGCCCCGGCGGGGUUUUCUGGGGGAGACCCCCGAGGUUUCGGGUGGUUUUUUGGGGUUUUUUUGGGAUUUUUUGGGGUUUUUUGGGGUUUUUUUGGGGCUUUCCGGCGCUCCCGGAGCCGCCGCCGGUCGCGGCUGGGGGGGAAGGGGGGCGGAGCCGGCGCCGGAAGUCGCGUCCGCGCGGCUCUCGCGAGACCUCGGCGGCCGCCGCCGCCGCACUUUCCACACGCGGCCCCGGCUCCGCUUCGCCCCCACCCGGGGAGGAAAAAACGCCCGGAACGACAAUAAAAAACACAGAGGGAAUAAAUCAUGGGGGGACUUUUCCGCGCCGGGGAAGGGGAGGGGAGAGCGGCCCCGCCAGCCGUGGCGAAUCUGCCGCCCGCGCUUUCGCCACAUCGCCUUUCCUCGCCCUUCGCACCGUUUCCCCGCCCGUUUUCCAUCCCGUUCCUUCGCUUUAAUCUUUGAAAUUUUUUUAACGCGCCUUUCGGCGCGAUCUGGGGUUUUAUUUUCGGGUUGGGGGGUUUCCCGGGGCCGUGACGAAUCUGCCGCCCGCGGACCGUGAAGGAGGGGAGGCGGGGCCGGGCUCCGCGCUCGGCGCACGCGCGGCGCCGCCGACGCCCCUCUCCGUCCUGUGGCGCAUGCGCAGCCGCUGAGUCGCCGGUCCCGGGGCUUCCCCCGCCGCCUUUGCCGCCCGCUCCGGUUUUACCGAGCCCCGCCGCCCCGGCCCCGCCCCUUUCCCGGGUCCUUUUGGCCCGAAAAAGGCCGAAAUCGGGGCUCGCCGGCGGCUUCCUGCGGGAAUCGGGGCGCGGCGCCUUUAACGGGGCGUGACGUCACUUUCCCCCGCCGUUCAGGCAUGGCCAAGCGCCGGGUGACGUUUGAGGAGCCCCCGGGGGAGGGGGAGGGGCCGGACACGCCCCCCCGGAAACGGGCCAUGGCCGUGGGGGGCCCCGGGAGCCGUUUCCCGGCUCAGCCGUCCCUGGACAGCGACGAGGAGGAGGAGGAGGAGGAGGAAGAGGAGAGGCCCGAGGGGCCCCCGGUGGAGGGGCAGGAGCCGGGCCCCGCGCCGGGGGUGGGGGAGGGGCCGGUGCCCUUCACCCCCUUCAACCUGGAGGAGGAGCUGGGGGAGGGGCGCUUCGACCCCCACGGACACUUCCUGCCCCUCCCCCGCCGGGAGCCCCCCGACCCCUGGCUGGAGACCAUCGAUGGGGUGGGGGAGGGGCGGGGGGUGGGGGAGGGACUCGAGACCAUCGACGGGUGGGGGA
rnacentral:lncRNA from 1 species